rnacentral:sRNA from 15 species
UUCAAUACAUUUAUAUGGCAAGCCGGCUUGCUCCAGCGGGUGGAUGGGUGGUGUACCGAGUAUAAGCGAGUAUAACUCCCGAUUGUGCGUGUGUGUGUGGGUGUGUUGGGCGCGUGCUAUGCGUCUGCGCAGCGGCAACGUUCUGAUUUCGUACGACGCCCGGCGCUCGCAUUUCAACGUCUUUUGAGUGCGCGGAACAGCAGCGAAGGUGGACAGAGGCACCGACAGCGACUGUGGCAGAGGCAAAGUUCUACCAAUCAUUCAGUAAUUUCUUGGAACGAGCGAAGCGCCUAAAACACAAUAAGGACUGCAAAGCUUCUCAGCAAAAUGUUAGACAGUGGUGACAGCCCUGGUCACACUUGACAGAGGGUUAUCGGUAUGAUUAGCUUGUCAAACUUUGGACGUCACAAGAAGAGCUGCCUAGUCAUUAAGAUAGAAAAAAGUCGGCCGGAAGAAAACUCGGAGUCUUAGAAAAAGACAUUACCAAGAAAAAUCAGUCGAAAGAAGAGCCAAAGAGUUCGGCAGAAAGGCUGUCGGUAGAACAGACAUCAAUAAAUUUGCAUCUCGUUGAAAAAAAGCUAUCAAAGAUGAGCUUAGUCGCUGUGCAUGUGGCGGACGGGGAUUUCGAAUGCUCCUGCGACGACAUCGUCAGCGCCAUUAUGACUGGAAGAGCCAAGCUGCUCCUAAUCGCCAAGUCGACUCCCACCUGGCUGAGCGCCCAGCUUAUGCAUCUCGCAGAUAUAUGGCACUGCCCCCAUAUGAGCUACGCCCAC